AAUCUAAGUCGGAGAUGAAGUUUUCCUCAAAAGCAUUCUAAACUCUACCGAGACUGUAGCAAGAAGAAGGGUCUAGAGCUUGGACCCAAAUGAUCUAGUUGGUGGUACAGAGAUUGAACCAGAAUGGUGUGAGGUAAACGUUCAAGUACCAAUAAAAAAGAUGAAAACUUGAUAAGACCAUAUGGUUUAUUUUCUACAAUUCAAGAUGUACUGUGCAUCCAUCGCAUGGCCCUAUCCAUUCAUCUCGGUAGUCCAUGAGGAUUGAGGACGCAUGAUGACUCAAGAUUUUAUGCUUCUUACUUUUUUAAUUGCUUUAAUUUCUUUGUUAAAUGUUAAGACUUUAUGUCAGAUAAUGUUAUAACUUAUUUAUGGUUA